rnacentral:rRNA from 1 species
CCUACGGGAGGCAGCAGUGAGGAAUAUUGGUCAAUGGACGCGAGUCUGAACCAGCCAUGCCGCGUGCAGGAUGACGGCUCUAUGAAUUGUAAACUGCUUUUGUCCGAGGAUAAAGCCGGAUACGUGUCUCCGGUUGAAAGUAUCUUACGAAUAAGGAUCGGCUAACUCCGUGCCAGCAGCCGCGGUAAUACGGAGGAUGCGAGCGUUAUCCGGAUUUAUUGGGUUUAAAGGGUGCGUAGGCGGUUUGUUAAGUUAGCGGUGAAAAGUCGGGGCUCAACCCCCAACCGGCCUUUAAGACUGUUGGACUCGAGAAUAGUAGCGGUAGGCGGAAUGUACGGUGUAGCGGUGAAAUGCUUAGAGAUCGUACAGAACACCGAUUGCGAAGGCAGCAUACCAACUCAUAUCUGACGUUGAGGCACGAAAGCGUGGGUAUCGAACAGGAUUAGAUACCCGGGUAGUC